UACGAAGGGGGCUAGCGUUGCUCGGAAUCACUGGGCGUAAAGCGCACGUAGGCGGGUCGUUAAGUCAGGGGUGAAAUCCUGGAGCUCAACUCCAGAACUGCCUUUGAUACUGGCGAUCUUGAGUUCGGGAGAGGUGAGUGGAACUGCGAGUGUAGAGGUGAAAUUCGUAGAUAUUCGCAAGAACACCAGUGGCGAAGGCGGCUCACUGGCCCGAUACUGACGCUGAGGUGCGAAAGCGUGGGGAGCGAACAGG
rnacentral:rRNA from 1 species